rnacentral:rRNA from 1 species
UUGGGAUCCGAUUUAGCCAUGCUAGUCGUACGAGUUCAGACUCGUGGCGAAUAGCUCAGUAACACGUGGCCAAACUACCCUUCGGACCGCAAUACCCUCGGGAAACUGAGGCUAAUAGCGGACACCACACGCAGACUGGAAUGUCGCGUGUGUCAAACGCUCCGGCGCCGAAGGAUGUGGCUGCGGCCGAUUAGGUAGACGGUGGGGUAACGGCCCACCGUGCCAAUAAUCGGUACGGGUCAUGAGAGUGAGAACCCGGAGACGGAAUCUGAGACAAGAUUCCGGGCCCUACGGGGCGCAGCAGGCGCGAAACCUUUACACUGCACGCCAGUGCGAUAAGGGGAUCCCAAGUGCGUAGGCAUAGAGCCUACGCUUUUGUCCACCCUAGGGUGGUGGACGAAUAAGGGCUGGGCAAGACCGGUGCCAGCCGCCGCGGUAAUACCGGCAGCCCAAGUGAUGGCCGAUCUUAUUGGGCCUAAAGCGUCCGUAGCUGGCCGCACAAGUCCAUCGGGAAAUCCACCUGCUCAACAGGUGGGCGUCCGGUGGAAACUGUGUGGCUUGGGACCGGAAGGCGCGACGGGUACGUCCGGGGUAGGAGUGAAAUCCUGUAAUCCUGGACGGACCGCCGAUGGCGAAAGCACGUCGCGAAAACGGAUCCGACAGUGAGGGACGAAAGCUAGGGUCUCGAACCGGAUUAGAUACCCGGGUAGUCCUAGCCGUAAACACUGCCUGCUAGGUGUGGCACCCACUACGAGUGGGUGCUGUGCCGUAGGGAAGCCGCUAAGCAGGCCGCCUGGGAAGUACGUCCGCAAGGAUGAAACUUAAAGGAAUUGGCGGGGGAGCACUACAACCG